GGCCGUCUAGCUCAGUUGGUUAGAGCGUCGUGCUAAUAUAUUGUCAAUCUCCCCAUUAUUACGCGAAGGUCUUGGGUUCGACCCCCACGAUGGCCA